UCUCUUUGUCCUUUAUCUUAUUUCUUUUUCUUCACUUUAUAAAUCUCCAAACCCUUUCCCACUGUUGGAUUUAGAUCUCAUCUUUGCUAUAUAUAUACACAUAAAUAUACAUAUAAUAUUCAUAUCGUUUCCUUUCUUCUCUAGUUAGCUUUUUUUCAUAUCUUUCUUGCUAGUUUUAAUGUUCUUUUUUCCCCCAAGGGAUUUGGUUCUUUUUGUUCAAGCUCUAUGUCAAUAAAUCUACUUUUCAACAUGCGGUUUUUUCCAUUAUCAAAGAGAAAUCAGAGUUUCAUAAGAUUUUGAUACAAUCAGCUUAGCUUCUCAUCAUAUUUUUGCCAGUUUAAUUCAUAGGAACUCUCUUUUUUUUUUUUUUUAAAGUUCAUAAAAGGAAGGAAAUUAGUAGGGUUUUUGUGGUUGUUUUUGUUAUAAAGAUGAGUAGUCUCAACUGGUUAGAUUCUUGUUGGGUAGAUCUCACGUAAUCAACUUUAUGUUUCAGCCACUGGUAAUAAGCCAGAUCAGCUGGUCCUAGCCAGCUGCCCCCUCUUUGAUGCUAAGAGUACGAACAUAUUUUCUUCCAAGAAAUUAUAUGUAAAAAAUCUUUUUCCUGUUUAAUUUUCUUUCUUUUUUUUUCUUGCAGAAGCUUUUCCAUGAUUUUAGGCUCUUUGGGGUCAUAUUCAAAUUUUUAAUCUUCUUUUUCUUUUAUUUCCUCUCCUUUUAUAUAAAUCCCAAAACUGUAUACAAUAUGUGUGUAUGUGCAUGGGGAUAUUUGGAUAAGUAGAUAGAUUGACAGUCGUUGUUUGCAGGUGUAGCAUCAUCAAGAUUCACAUGCAAAUUAUAUUGCUAAAAGUUCUUUGAAACUGAGAAUCUUGAUGAUGCUGCAUCGGCAAUAAACGACUACACAAAAGAGAUUAAAAGAAAAGAACCCUUUAAUUCCUGUUUUUUUUCUCCUUAGUUUCAAAGGAUACAGUUUUCGCCACUUCACAACAUCAACAAGAACAAGAUGAUCAGAAAAAAGGCACUUUUUUUUCUGUUGUUGUCAGGUGAGUAUUUACAUAUACAUAUAUAUGAUACAUGUAGACAAUUGGACAUACUUCAAUAUUAGUUUAUGGGGUAUUAAUCUUUUAAUAAAUAAAGGGUAUCUAUUUAGCUGUUUUUAAAGGACUAGUUGCAGAUCCAGAUCUGUAAUUAUUCUUCAGAGCCAAAUAUAUUGCUGUAGUGGAAAUAUUGGGUACUUUAACAUAUGAAGCUAUAUUGAGAGACUUUGUUGUGUUUAUGUAUGUUGAUGCUAUAUUGAAGGAAAUUAGAUCCAUUUGUUGGUAUUUUGUAGAUCUUUGAUUAUUUUAUUCCUAUUAUUUCAUUAAUGGUUUUUGCAUUGCAGAUAGGCAAAGAAGCACUCUUACAGAGAAAUGAGUAGUUUUAGGUUUUGUUUCUUUAUGGAAUUUGAUGAUAUCAAAUAACUAGGCUGCUGCAAAUUGGUUCUUUCCUCCAUAUCUUUGUCUUCAAAUAGAAAUUUUGAAGGGGAUUCUUCCAAGUGGAUUUUUGUCUUAAAGAAUUAGUAGAUAUUGUUGAAUAUUGGAAGCUUUCAAGAUCAUAAAUGGUGUAGUAACUAGUAAUUAUGGGACACUGCCAUUGGCCUUUUUUUUUUUUUUUUUUAAUAUUGUUAGUGGACCCUUAAAACAUUUUAUCUAUCUCUAUUCAGUUCAUAGUUUCUAAAAUUUGCUUCCUUCAGUCAUGAAAAUGAUAAUCCACUCUAGAAAUUUAUGGAUAUAUAUAUGAGCCCUCAAUCGCUUUCUAAGCUUUUAUACUUAUAUUCUCUGCUACAUGCAUUAAGGGUUUUUCUCUUAGUUCAUAAAAGGAAAAGAAAAUAAUAGGUACUUUUUUCCGAGUGUAGCAUCAUCAAGCUUAACAUGCAAAUGCAUGGAGGUGAUGAAAAAUUAUCUUGCUCGGCCUCUUUGUUUUUUCGUGUUUGAUGCUGGUGUACGAUACACCAAUAUGAGAAUAUGACCUCGAAAAGUCCUUCAAAUGUAUAGAAAAAUAUAGAAAGACUAAUUAUAUCUAUAUUAAACACAUAUACAUAUUCAAUAGUCACACUGAAAUUCAAUAUACAUAUUGAAUACUCUCACCCGAACUCAAAUAACUUAGGUAAAAAAUUUGAAAUUUGAUAACUUUUGUUGCAAAAGUACUUUGAAAUUGAGAAUCUUGAUGAUGCUCCACCGGCAAUAAACGACUACAGAAAAGAGAGGGAAAAAAAGACCCUUUAAUCUUUUCCCCUUUUUUUCUCAGUUUAAAGUUACCCACUUUGCACUUCACAGCAUCAGCAAGGACAAGAUGAGAGAAGACUCUCUGUUGUUGUCAGGUGAUGUAAUGAGCUUUUACUAAAGCCAACAAGGUGGUUUGCUGAUGUUUCCAUCCCAUGAGAGUGCUUUGGAGUUGGAGGUGAGAGAAAUGGGGUUUUUUUAGAUUUGCUUAUGGGAUUUUGAUGAUAUUCAGAUGAAUAGGUUACUGCAAGUUCUUUGGUUCUGGAAAUUAGUAGAUAUUGUUGAAUAUUGGAAACUUCAAUGUGGAAGAGAAGAUAUAUAUAUGUAUGUAUGCGGUUCUUCGCUUCAGUUUGCUUAUAGGCCUUCUUAUAUAUUGUUGAAUAUUUCAUGCACUAGCAGACUAGUUUACCAAAUAUCUGCAAAGGGGGUUGAUUGAUGUAUUUAGUAAUUGCUUGAUCCUUUAGUGUUAAAAAAGUGAAGUAUAAAUAGAUGAAUGGAUAUUAGAAAAUUGAAGUCUCUGCAUCAUUGAGAUUGACGGUCUCCAUUCAAGAUUUUCUCUCUUUGUUACUUCAAAAGAUAGAUAGCCAUGGAUGCAUGAAUAUGUACUGGUUCCAGCUAGUACACACUUGUGCAGUUGUACACGUAUCCACUUGUUUCUCCUAAACUUAUGCACCUAUACAUAUACACUGAUAUACACUGCUUUGAUCCUGAUUUUAAUAAUGAAUUGCUGGAGAUUACGUUUUUGCAGGUAGGUUUAAUUAAUCAAAUAUUGUUACUAUGAGUUUUAUUUUGUUUGGAGUCAACCGCGUUGACCGAUAGAGGUUCACCCAUCAUGAAGGAACCUCGCCAACUUACAUCAAAGAUUUACUUAGAAUACAGUCUAUGAAGACAAGACCUUCCAUAAACUCUAAGCAAACGUGCUGAAGAUCAGUCAUGACUUAGCAGCUUACUGCAAGAACCUUGACAUCUGGCUCCUCCACCGCCACUUCAAACCUAUAACUUCCCCUUAGCUAAGAACCACUGACAAGAGACUUCCGUUGUUGUUACUCUACCGAAUUUCCCUCAGAUUUCACCUUUCUACAACUUCCAGCACAACUGUGUCAACCGUCUUCAACCACUCCCUGGUAUCAACACACACACAUAUAUAUAUUUUAUUUGUGUUCUGUACUACAUGAGUCAUGUUUGGGCUGUCAAAGACAAAAACCUAUAUAGUUAUCACAUGGUAAUGGAAUUUGAUUUGUUAACCACUGCUAA